UCAAUAAAGCGCAGCUGUGACGUCUCUUGUUCAGUAAUCAUGGGACUGCUCCUGUUGCCAACUUUGCCUGUAGUUCACCAAAGUCAAGUUGCCCACGGGGGUCAAAGAUUUCUACCCUGUUGGAAGAAGCCACUGUUGAAGUGUGAAAGGCUACUCUGCUUUCUGCGUCCAUUUAACCUUUGGCCUGCCCUAAAGAGCCAGCCAAGUGUCAAUCAGGGCUGAUUGGGCACCUGUGCCUGGAAACAAGACAGAGAAAUUUAGCUCUUCCAGGUCAUCAAACCAUCUCCAGAUGGCAAAGAACUUCUGAAGUUAUGAACCUAACUUGCUUGUGAUGCAAAUUAGUGACCUAGGGUGAGAUGCUUCAUUAAUGCUUACUCCUGUGAGCCUCCAAGGUGUCAGAAGUUGGACUGCUUACUCUCACAUUUUUUUUUUGCUGUGUAAUGUGCAUUAAAAUAAUUUAUAUUCAUAGAGAUGGUCCAAUAAAUUGCAUAUGGCUAGUUAAUAAGCUGCUAAAGCAGAGAAGAAAAUUAGAUUUCAUUUAGAAGAAAACAAUAUUUG
rnacentral:lncRNA from 10 species